rnacentral:tRNA from 1 species
AAAAUCCGUCGACUUUAGAAAUCGUGAGGGUUCAAGUCCCUCUAUCCCCCCAAAAAGACCGAUUUGACUAUUUCUCCUACCCUCUCUUUUUUUUAGUGGUUCAAAAUCCGUUCUCUUUCUCAUUCAUUCUACCUUUUUACAAACGUAUCAGAGCAUAAUUUUUUUUUUAUCACAAUCCCAAGUGGUGUGGUAUAUAUGAUAUACGUACAAAUGAACAUCUUUGAACAAAGAAUCCCGAUUCCCAAUUCAUAUCAUUGCUCAUACUGAAACUUAUAAAUUAUUCUAUUCAAGAAAUAGAAUUCCACGCUCAAGACUUUUAAUACUUUUUUAUCUUUUUUAAUUGACAUAGACCCCAGUCAUCUAGUAAAAUGAGGAUGAUGCGCCGGUAAUGGUCGGGAUAGCUCAGCUGGUAGAGCAGAGGACUGAAAAUCCUCGUGUCACC